GACGAACGCUGGCGGCGGGCUUAACACAUGCAAGUCGGACGCUCCGGUUUUGGCCGGGGCGUGGCGCACGGGUGCGUAACACGUAGGUAACCUGCCCUCGAGUGGGGAAUAACCCCGGGAAACCGGGGCUAAUACCGCAUACAGACUGGGAGCUGCAUGGCUCUCAGUUGAAAGCCGUGCACCGGUGACGGUGCGGGCGCUCGGGGAUGGGCCUGCGGCGGAUUAGGUAGUUGGUGGGGUAAGGGCCUACCAAGCCUGCGAUCCGUAGCUGGUCUGAGAGGAUGAUCAGCCACACUGGCACUGAGACACGGGCCAGACUCCUACGGGAGGCAGCAGUGAGGAAUUUUGCGCAAUGGAGGCAACUCUGACGCAGCCACGCCGCGUGCAGGAGGACGCCCCUACGGGGUGUAAACUGCUUUUCUGCGAGAAGAAGGCCUUGCUUUGGGCAGGGUGUGACGGUAUCGCAGGAAUAAGCACCGGCUAACUCCGUGCCAGCA
rnacentral:rRNA from 1 species